rnacentral:lncRNA from 10 species
CCUAGCCCUCACCUCUCUCGCCAGAUACUGAGUCCACCAGUGUUUUGAUCUUGGACUUUCCCGCCUCCAGAACUGUGAGAAAUAAAUUUCUGCUAAGCCAUCCAUUUUCAUUAUAGCAGCCCGAGCAAGCUAAGACACCAGUCUUAUAAAUGUUUACGUGAGUACGAAGACCUCCUAGGACCUAGCACUUUAAGGACUUCACACUACUGCCUCUCCCAGUCUUGCCAUGAGAGUCCUCGAUGGGUACACAGCAGCAUUGAUAUCAGAAGCCAAACUAAAGGUGGUGGUUUGGAGCACCCACUGAGCCAGGCCCCUGUCCUAAGCAUUUUGCAUCUGUUAAUUCACUGACUCCUAUAAGGAGAGGAGACUGGCCCAGAGAGGCUCAGGGACUUGUUCCAGGUCACACAGCUGAAAGUGACAGAUUCUGUGAUUCCAAACACUGCCUGUGCCUUUAAGUACUCCACACGACUGCCUCUCCCAAACUUGCCACAAGGCAGCCAGGGUGAGUUCCCUAUACCCACUCACUACCUCCAUCUCACCCCUCUUUCUGCUGUACAACCUUGCCGGGGAGGGGGGCAGGCGGCGGUCCUGCACGUGUUAAGAGAGGGCGUAGACAGGCACCAGGUGCCAGAGGACCUGACCUCACUGCAGUUCUCUGCCUCUAUUAGCCCAGGGCCCCUGCAGUCAGGAGGAGGCUAUUUGCAGGCCCUUGGCCCAGGCCUGGCCUCUCCUCACCCCUCCCCACCAUCCUUCUCUUUCUCUGGGCUGCUGUCCUGCCCAGGGCAGGUGGCAACCUGGCUGGUUGCUUCCCAGGUGCGAUAGUCUCAGCUGACUGCCUCUCCUCCCCCAAGAUCGAGACUUAUCGGUCAUCAGAAUCAUUCCUGCCAUCCAGACCCAGCUCAAGGUCAUCCCCAGAAGGAGGAAGCCUCACGACUGUUCAGCCAAGAAGGAAAGAGGAGACUAAGAUGGACCCAACAUCUAGAGAAGAGAAGGUGGAAGCAGAGGCAGAAGUGAGAAGUGGGAAGCAGCAAGUGGGAAGGGAAGCCCAGCUUUCCAGUUCUGGCAGUGCAGAGCACUAGAACAGUAGACGGAGCUUUUACAAAUGAAACGCCUGAACCUUACCGUAGCCAAUCAAAUUGGAAUUUCUGGGAGUAGAGCUGGGUACGAGUGUUUUUGGAAACACCCCGGAUGAGUGUGAUGUUCCACGAAGGUCAAGAACCACCAUUUAAGAGCAGUGGUUCUCAAACUUUGGCGUGCCUCUGAACCCCCUGAAGAGUUUGGUAAAUACAGGACGCCAGACCCCACCUGCAGAGUCUCCCACCCAGCAGGUCUGAAUGGGGCCUAUAUUCAUUUCCUGUGGCUGCUGUAACAAAUCACCACAAACUCGGUGGCUUAACCAACAGAAAUCUAUUCUCUUACAAUUCUGGAGGUAUGAAAUUAAAAAUGAGUCUCACUGGGCUACCAUCAAGGUGUUGGCUGUGUUCCUUCUAGAGGCUCAGGGAGAAUCUGUUUCCUUGCUUGCCCCCUCUUCUAGAGGCCACCUGCACUUAAAAGCUUUUUCCCACUUUGGUGUCUUGAUUCUUUUUUUUUUUUUUUUGAGACAGAGUCUUACUCUGUCACCUAGGCUGGAGUGUAGUGGUGCAAUCUCAGCUCACUAUAACCUCUGCCUCCCAGGUUCAAGC